GCCGAAGUGGCGGAAUGGCAGACGCGAUGGAUUCAAAAUCCAUUGUCCCCAAAGGACGUGUGGGUUCGAGUCCCACCUUCGGCA
rnacentral:tRNA from 1 species